UACAGAGGGUGCAAGCGUUAAUCGGAUUUACUGGGCGUAAAGCGUGCGUAGGCGGUUUGCCAAGUCGAAUGUGAAAUCCCUGGGCUUAACCUGGGAACUGCAUCCGAAACUGGCAGACUAGAAUGUGGUAGAGGGAGGUGGAAUUCCAGGUGUAGCGGUGAAAUGCGUAGAUAUCUGGAGGAACAUCAAUGGCGAAGGCAGCCUCCUGGGCCAACAUUGACGCUGAGGUACGAAAGCGUGGGGAGCAAACAGG
rnacentral:rRNA from 1 species